UAGGAGGUUCGAGAAAGGCAAAUGAUUCUUGAACAUUGGAGAUAGAAGAUCUGUUCUUGUUCUAGCUUUAGGAAUUGAUAAGCUUGUAUUCGAAUCAAUAAUUGUCAUUUUAGAUGAUUGUCAUCUUUGUCCAUCCUUUGUUUUAAAUAUCAUUUCUAUAGGCCUUUUGGCCAAAAAUAAUUUUAAAUUUUUAAUAAAAGAUCAUUUUUGUGA
rnacentral:lncRNA from 1 species